UACGUAGGGUGCGAGCGUUAAUCGGAAUUACUGGGCGUAAAGCGUGCGCAGGCGGUUCGUUAAGACAGAUGUGAAAUCCCCGGGCUUAACCUGGGAACUGCAUUUGUGACUGGCGAGCUAGAGUAUGGCAGAGGGGGGUAGAAUUCCACGUGUAGCAGUGAAAUGCGUAGAGAUGUGGAGGAAUACCGAUGGCGAAGGCAGCCCCCUGGGCCCAAUACUGACGCUCAUGCACGAAAGCGUGGGGAGCAAACAGG
rnacentral:rRNA from 1 species